rnacentral:rRNA from 1 species
GAUGAACGCUAGCGGCAGGCCUAAUACAUGCAAGUCGGACGGGAUUCAGGAGCUUGCUUCUGCUGAGAGUGGCGCACGGGUUCGUAACACGUAUGUAACCUACCUUUAUCAGGGGGAUAGCCUCUCGAAAGAGAGAUUAAGCCCGCAUAAAAUCACAGCACAUCAUUGUUUAAUGAUCAAAUAUUUAUAGAAUAAAGAUGGGCAUGCGUAACAUUAGCUAGAUGGCGGGGUAACGGCCCACCAUGGCGACGAUGUUUAGGGGAUCGGAGAGGAUGGCCCCCCAGACGGGUACUGGGACAAGGACCAGACUCGAAGGGGAGGCAGCAGUAAGGAGUAUUGGUCAAUGAGCGGAAGCCUGAACCGGCCAUGCAGUGUGGAAGAAGACGGCCCUAUGGGUUGUAAUCUGCUUUUAUAAGGGAAUAAGCCAAGAUACGUGUAUCUGGCUGAAUGUACUGUAAGAAUAAGGAUCGGCUAACUCCGUG